GGAAGCUGGGGCAGGUGCUCGGAGAAGGCAGGAGGGGAUGAAGAGAACAGUCAGGCUGGUGGGACCUGGUAUCCAGAGAAAUGGGGCCCGGCAAGAUGAGGAAAGGAGGAGCAGUGAGUUUGCUGCAUCAGAAGGACCUGGUAAGGCCUUCUCUACCUUGCUUAUGUAGCCCAUGACAUAAUCCACAUGAAAAGAGAGGGGAUGUUAGGAAACAUGAGACUUGACUGGGACACUAACAAGGGUGUCAGAAAUCAUUCACAGGCUCAAGACAUUUCAUCCACCCACCCACACAGAUAGGACCAUAAUGUAAGGCUCCCUGCCUGGUCAACUUUCAUCAGCAACAAUCACUGCUUAAAACUCCUUGGAAAGGUCCUUAACAAUAGCUGUUGUCAAA
rnacentral:lncRNA from 1 species